UUGUUUUUUAAUUAAAAACUAGAAUGAAAGGUUAUACAUUUAAAUUUCUUUAUUAAUUUUUUAUAUAUAAUUUAUAUUAAAUAUAAAAAUAUAUUUUUUAAAUAAAAAGACGAUAAGACCCUAUUAAAUUUUACUUAUAGUUUAACUGGGGAAGUUUUAAAAAUAAAAUUUUUUAUAAAAAUAAAAAUAAAUCUAAUAAAAUUAAAAUUAAAUUAAAUUACUAUAGGGAUAACAGCAUUAUAUUUUUUAAAAGUUCAUAUUAAAAAAAAUGAUUGUGACCUCGAUGUUGAAUUAUAUUUUCUUUAUUAAUGCAAUAAUUAUAAAAGUAGAUCUGUUCGAUCUUUAAAAUAUUACAUGAUUUGAGUUCAAACCGGUGUAAACCAGGUUGGUUUCUAUCUUUUUAUAAAUUCAUAUAUAUAUGUAUAUAUAUAAAUUUUUCAAGUACGAAAGGAAAAAAAAAUUUUUAUUUUAAUUAAUUAGCAAUUAAUAUGCAUUAGAUUUAGAAUCUAAAUAAACUAUUAUU
rnacentral:misc_RNA from 1 species